AUGCCGAUGGUUGGCCGUCGCGUCCUCCUACGCUGCAUCCUGUCCGUUAUACCAACCUUCAUGCUCAUGGCAUUAAGGGUGCCACAGAAGCUCUACAAGGAAAUUGACAAGUCUCGUCGAUGCUUCCUCUGGGCGCAGGACGAGGAGAUCUCGGGGGCGAAGUGCAAGGUUGGUUGGUGGAUGGUCACCGCGCCGGAGUUGCAUGGUGGCCUGGGCAUCCAUGACCUGCCUAGGUUCGCCCAUGCGCUGCGGCUAAGAUGGAUGUGGCUCACCUGGCAAUAGCCUCACAGGCCUUGGGUUGGCACCGGUAUGCCAUGUGACAACAACGACCAAGCUCUGUUCGCAGCCUGCACCUUCAUCACCAUUGGGAAUGGAACCACGACCUCCUUCUGGUUCCCCUCUUGCCUAGGAGGCCGGUGA
rnacentral:rRNA from 1 species